rnacentral:lncRNA from 1 species
GGUGGACCGCCCGGCAGGAAGAGAGGGGAAGGCUGAGCAGUGAAGGGGUCCCCAAGUCAGCCAAGGCAGAGUUCCCAGGUACGAAUUCAGAGCCUGACGGUACUGGGCGGGGAGGUAGCCCCCACCUUCCUGAAGCCCCUUCCUUACCUCUGGGAGCGUGAGGCUGGAGACGCCUGGGUAGGUCUGAGGGUGAGCCCUGGGUGUGGGGUAGCUCCACCCUGCAAGUGCCUAGAGGCCCCACACCUCCAGCCUCCCUCUGAAUUCAGGGUUCUCUGUCCUGAGGCUGCCCAGGGGAGCCUGGCUGGGGCGAGAUGGGCCGGACAUGGGCCUGGGCGAGUCUCGCCACAGAGGGGCGCCGCUGAGCAGCCAGGCCUCCUGAGGAGUGGACACUCUCCCGGCAGGCCCUGGGAUCCGCCACCCACAAGCACACUUGGAGGCAGCAUCCUUGCAGGACUCGCGCCGGAGCCUGAGCCCUCCAGCCAGCCCAGCGCGCCACCGCCCUUCUGUCCCCAGCCACCCACGAGAGAAUCUGGGUCGCCAGGGCCUUGUCCUUCACCAAGGCAAAGCCGGCUCAGCCUCAGAGCCACAGGCGAGAGCGCCUGUCUGCAUGAGUGUCAUGAGGACUGGACAUGGGUCUAUCAGGACCAUCGGCAUGAUGUCAGCCAAGGAUCUCGUGGCCUGCCUCUGCCAAGGGGGGACCAGCACCUUGUCCUGAGCACUUCCAGCCUCCCAUUGCCUUCAACCUGGCUGCAUUCAGCUGCCAUGCCCCUACCUCCUGAUGUGGCCAGCACCCUCCAGGACUUCAUCUAGGUGCACCCAAAGGCCGAGGACGUUGCUGGCCAGCAGGAAAUUCCUGGUGCAUCCAGGAAGACUUCCAAGAGGUGGUGGAACAGGGGGCGCCACACCCAGACAGCUGUGUGUAACUGUGCAGCUUCGGGCUGCUGCAGGUGCUGGCCGGACUGUGUUCUGGGCACACUGGACUGUGUCACUGCAUGGAGGCUGUUGCCGGAGGAGGAAGUGCAGGCCCCAAGGCCUAUGUGCCUGGAAACCAGCUGGGGCUGCUGCAGGAGGAGGGCUGCAGGAUGCUCCAGCUCAGACCUGACUCAGGGUUUUAGAGGGCACAGGGCAUAAAGCUGUGGACAUAGACAGCCCUACUGCGCAGGAAGAGCAUAAACCAGCCAGAGGGCAUGCAUGGGGGCUGCUGUUGCAUUCUGGUCUCCUUUGAGGUAGGGAAAGAUGUGUUUCUUUCUAUUUUAUGGGUGAGCAAACUGAGGCAGAGUGGUGGAGUGAUUUCC